rfam:Xenopus tropicalis strain Nigerian Chr05_contig_744, whole genome shotgun sequence.
GGAGGUAUAGCUCAGGGGUAGAGCAUUUGACUGCAGAUCCAGAGGUCCCUAGUUCAAGUCUGGGUGCCCCCU